ACAAAACAAAAUUCUACAAGUACGAAAACCUGUCACGUGACUUUUGGCACUAAUUUUCCGCCUUGCUGAUCCACACACACGCCUUCAGAUCCACACACAUGCUUGUAAAAUGGGAUGUAAUUUGCACUCCACAACAGCAGGUGGCGCUGUUACCGACUUGCUUGCCGCCGCCACGGACAUGGAAAGAGAAGAGAAGAAGAAACGCUAGCGUGAGGAGGGUGUUUUGAACACGAUGAGCGGCCAACAGGUGAGUUUGCAGUCGUUGGUGAAAAAUCAAAUGUUAACUUAACUCCAGACAUGUCUGUCGUGGGUAGAGUUAUAUAUUUAAGCAAUGUCGCUCGAGUAGGAGUGUGAUAUUGGUUUAUAUUGUCACGGCUGUGAUUAGUCCAGAGGCACGAGGCCGAUAUUGCUUUAUACAAGAGUUCGACGGCACACGUUUGAAAAAAGAAACUAAAAAACAACAACGGAGUUAUUUUAUAAGCCUCUUUGUUUGGGAACUACUUUCUUCCACCGCGGAUUUGAAGGCCAGAAUGACAGCAUCCAGUGAUGAACUGAAGGCACUCAUGAAGUUCUGGGUUGGAUGGGAGGCUCCUACAACUACUCUCACGUUAGAGGUGACUGACUGUAGUCUGCCAAAGUCUUCCACGUGCUUCGAGAGACCCUCCGUCUUCCUGUCCGCUACAAAGACUUCACUGUAUUUAAGGAAGAACUGAUUGCCUGCCUUCAAACAUGUGACACUGGAUUUGGAUUGGUGUAAUGGCAAUGCUAAAAUGUAGCUUCUUUCAUAGGGGCAGUUCUCAUUCAUGUUUUUGUUCAGUGUUGGAUAUCAAAUUAAGACUACGCCCCUUUACCUCCACAAACAGUGUGCAAAUGUAUUCAAAGAAUUCAAUGAAUGUCUUCAUCUGCCUUUAUCUUUGAGUCCUUCUAUGUUUUCCCAUCACUCUAAAAUCUGAUGCAGGUCUUUAGUCUUUUUAAUCAUCUUUCUGACACCUUCAAAACCUUUUAUUUCAACAUUUCCCCCAAUGUGACAUUGUUGCAUUGUCUCCUGGGUUGUUUGUUGUUGUCAGUUAAACUUAAGUUUCUGUAUUUUUGUUGUUGUUGUUCAAACCCUCAAGAUGUUUUAAGAUUGUAUUGUAUUCACACUACAAUAAAAAGAAAGCAAUCUUCA